rnacentral:lncRNA from 1 species
UAAAUGUUAAUAGAUAAAUUUAAAUUUAACUAAUAGAAAAUGUAACUAAUUUUAAUUUAUCUAUUUAUCUAAAUACUCUUUAGGUAAUAUUUAUUAUUAUUAUUAUUAUUACUGAAUUGCUUAAAUCACUUACAUCAAAGAGAAUCACAUGUUCAUUUCUUGCAGCUUUAAAUUUGUAAAUUUUUUAUUGUAUCCUGUAUCGUACUUUAUAAAAUAAACAAUUUAAAUAAAUUAUUGAAUUAAAUAACAUUCAACAUACUUGCAUAUAUAUUUUCAUAUAUUUUGCAUACAUUCUCACACACUUAGUCUAAUCUGAUCUACUGUAUUCUAAUUGCAUAAUUCUUGCAUUGUGAUUGUAGAGUUACUCAUUUGAUCUGACUCACGUCGACGUAGCUGCCAAUGAUUACACUGACACCCCGCUCAGGAGCGACCAACAAGGCAUAAGCUAUGAACAAACUAACAAAGAUCUGCCUGUGUGUUCAGACUAUGUACAAGAGGACAAGACUACAGAGGAGAAGACUAAUCCCAUCGCAAAUGGGUCUUGUGGAGAGAAAACUGAACAAGCACCCACCAAUGACAACGAUUAUCAGAAUGUUCCAGAAGAGAACAGUUUCUCUUCAAACUCGAGCUUGAGUACACCCAUGAAGAACGAGGAUUUUAACCUGUACCUAAAUCUGCUUGGAGGUGAUUUAAACGAUUUGACCGAAGCUGAAGCCACCGAUACGACGCAAAAUGAAAACAACAAUAAUGUCAGUAAUGCUGAGCAGGGAGCAGCAGAAGAGAUCUUCACUGAAAUCAGUCUAGAUGAGCCAAACUAGCAUGCAUAGUGUGUGUUUCCAGUGCAGCGGUCAAGAUCUCGGGUGUCCGGUACCUAGAUCCAAACUAUAGACUAUAUGAGUGCAAAAGCAUCCUUCUGCCAUUCUCACUUUAAGUUCUGUUUCAUCUACUGCUAAAGGAGAUUGUAUACUGUACAUAAAAAAAGAACAUUGAAUCAUUGGUUGAAGUUUAUGUAAAAAUUUUAAUGCUUUAUAAAAUAAUUUGUGGCUAUAAUAAACAUUCGCUGUGUAAUGCAAUGCACUUGUGUGUGUUUGACUGACGCCUGAAGCUUCUUCAUUAACAUUCAUUUGAGAGUUUCACUAUAUAAUUUGUUCAGCUGAAGGUGAUGGGCACAAUGGGGAAAGACACAGAGAAAGAGCUUAAAUACUCCUGGUCUUCCUCAGUUUAAGAGGGAAAAUGGCCUAUCACCAGAAGAUGUAUCUUCACUGGCCAAGUAGUGCUUAAUUUGCUUUAUACAGUAUUACCCAAUCACGUUGUACAUAGUUGUGGCAUCGAACAUAAAGACUGCUGUUAUCCUCAACCAGCCCCUAAAUGAACCAGCUACAGUAAUCAUAUAACCAGUGUUGGGGGUAAUGCAUUGCGAGUAUAGCAAGCUAUUAAAAUUAACUUUAAAAAUGACAUUUUCUUGUGAUUGAGAAGAAA